AAGUCGUAACAAGGUAUCCGUAGGUGAACCUGCGGAUGGAUCAUUAUCACGUAUCCACGUAUCAACCAUUGUGAACUGUACCCACCUUUGAAAGGAGUAUGAGUGAUAAGAGUUUUGUUUGUUUGUGUCUUAACUGAUGUGAAUAAAGAAAACUUUCCUUUCAAAGUGUAUUUUUUAUCACUUUAUUAACUAUUUUAACUUAAUUAUUAUACUUUUGUCUGAUUUUAUUUCUUACUCUCUUCGGGGAGAAGAAAUUUCAUUACGAAACAAAGAACAACUCUUAGCAACGGAUAUCUUGGUUCUCGUAAAGAUGAAGAACGCAGC
rnacentral:misc_RNA from 1 species